UCCAGUGAUGGCACAUCUUUGAGACCUGAGUUUUCUUGAUGAAAAUCAUAAGCAUAAUCCCUGAGGGC
rnacentral:snoRNA from 1 species